GUGCCUAACACAUGCAAGUCGAACGCGAAAGUGGAGCAAUCCAUGAGUAGAGUGGCAAACGGGUGAGUAACGCGUGGGCGACCUACCUCUGAGUGGGGGAUAACCUUCCGAAAGGAGGGCUAAUACCGCAUGACAUUCCGUGUUUGGAUACACGGCCAUCAAAGUCGGGGAUCGCAAGACCUGACGCUUGGAGAGGGGCCCGCGUCCGAUUAGCUAGUUGGUGGGGUAACGGCUCACCAAGGCUCCGAUCGGUAUCCGGCCUGAGAGGGCGGACGGACACACUGGAACUUUUACACGGUCCAG
rnacentral:rRNA from 1 species